rnacentral:rRNA from 1 species
AUUGAACGCUGGCGGCAGGCCUAACACAUGCAAGUCGAGCGGAUGACGGGAGCUUGCUCCUUGAUUCAGCGGCGGACGGGUGAGUAAUGCCUAGGAAUCUGCCUGGUAGUGGGGGACAACGUUUCGAAAGGAACGCUAAUACCGCAUACGUCCUACGGGAGAAAGCAGGGGACCUUCGGGCCUUGCGCUAUCAGAUGAGCCUAGGUCGGAUUAGCUAGUUGGUGGGGUAAUGGCUCACCAAGGCGACGAUCCGUAACUGGUCUGAGAGGAUGAUCAGUCACACGGAAACUGAGAAACGGUCCAGACUCCUACGGGAGGCAGCAGUGGGGAAUAUUGGACAAUGGGCGAAAGCCUGAUCCAGCCAUGCCGCGUGUGUGAAGAAGGUCUUCGGAUUGUAAAGCACUUUAAGUUGGGAGGAAGGGCAGUAAGCUAAUACCUUGCUGUUUUGACGUUACCGACAGAAUAAGCACCGGCUAACUCUGUGCCAGCAGCCGCCGUAA